UAUGGCCAAACCAUGUUUAAACAUUGGUUCUCAUUCAAACACCAAAGUUAAGCCUCAUUGAGCCUGGUCAGUACCUAGAUGGGUGAUAACUUGAGAAUACCAGUGCUGUAAU